rnacentral:lncRNA from 1 species
UUCACCUCUCUCUUGCCUCCUCAUUCACUUUGCAGUAUACACUUUCUGCCUGACCUGCCAAAUGUGUCCAGUGAGAAGAGGCAAUUUUUCACAUUUUGUUUGUUGAGGUUAUGACAGCUCCUUCAUUUACAGCUGGAAGCAUUGGUUCUGUCUCUGAAAACAGCCCAUCUAGUUCACAGUACUCAAACUUAGCCUUUAUAAUGGUUGUAAUGCACUGUCCCUUCUGUCUGCUUCACGACAGCUCUUGAUCUUACAGAUUCAAUGACACACUUUUUUUUUACUUUUUUUUUAAUUAUUUAUUUAACAGCCAGUGUUAAUAAUAAGCCUUUGUUUACAGUGCUCACUAUGUCACAUUAUCUGUAUGUCCUGGGUGAGGUCAUCAGAGCUCUUGAAGGAAUGGACCUAAUGAGCCUUGAGAACAAAAUUCCAUUAGAAGCGGAUGUAGAGGAUUCUCCAGGUAGAAGAAUUGUGCAGACUUAAAAUUCCAAGUGGUACUCAGUCUGGAAAAGUAAGCAAAGCAACUCCAACAGCAACUGAAGACAAAGAAAAACAAGACAACUAAUUUGGUCAGAGAGGUCAGUAUUUGAGACUUGUAGGGCAAAUGGGAGUUGAAAAUGUAGUUCAGAAAUAUUUUGAAAUCUGUGUUUUAAUAACUGUCAGGAAGAAUUAUUUGAAAUCUUUCCUUAUACUCUCUCCUUUCCCCUCCCUUUUCCUCCUCCUCCCCCUCCUCCCCCCCGCCCCCCCCACCGCCCCCCGUUUUUGGAACUUUUUGAAAGCAUGAAAUGGCUGUGUAAACUUUCCAGUAGUGAUUUUAACGACUUCUUCCUUCUAUGUAUUUUUCUCUAUGGUUUUAAACAGCUUUAACGCAUAGCAACUGCUACCAUGGACAAGUGCACAGCAAUGAGAAAACUAAGGAGUGUGAGAUGUAGUAGAAGGAGAAACAAACAAACAACAAAAAAAGAGUAGAGGACACUCAGAAAUCGUGACGCUUAUUACAUGUAAAAAAAAAUUAUAUCUUAUUAACCAUUGAUGAUUAUGUCAGAGGGCUUGGUUUUCACUGAAAUAUGGAAAAUCCUUGCUCAUAAAGUUUAAUCCUCUGCUACUG